ACUUCCUACGGGGGGCAGCAGUGAGGAAUAUUGGUCAAUGGGCGCAAGCCUGAACCAGCCAAGUCGCGUGAGGGAUGACGGUCCUAUGGAUUGUAAACCUCUUUUGUCGGGGAGCAAGGCCCGCCACGUGUGGCGGGAAGGAGAGUACCCGAAGAAAAAGCAUCGGCUAACUCCGUGCUAGCAGCCGCGGUAAUACGGAGGAUGCGAGCGUUAUCCGGAUUUAUUGGGUUUAAAGGGUGCGUAGGCGGAUCGUUAAGUCAGUGGUCAAAUUGAGGGGCUCAACCCCUUCCCGCCAUUGAAACUGG
rnacentral:rRNA from 1 species